rnacentral:rRNA from 1 species
AUUGAACGCUGGCGGCAUGCCUUACACAUGCAAGUCGAACGGUAACAGGUCUUCGGAUGCUGACGAGUGGCGAACGGGUGAGUAAUACAUCGGAACGUGCCCGAUCGUGGGGGAUAACGGAGCGAAAGCUUUGCUAAUACCUCAUACGAUCUACGGAUGAAAGCAGGGGACCGCAAGGCCUUGCGCGGACGGAGCGGCCGAUGGCAGGUUAGGUAGUUGGUGGGAUAAAAGCUUACCAAGCCGACGAUCUGUAGCGGGUCUGAGAGGACGACCAGCCACACUGUGACUGAGACACGUCACAGACUCCUACGGGAGGCAGCAGUGGGGAAUUUUGGACAAUGGGCGAAAGCCUGAUCCAGCCAUGCCGCGUGCAGGAUGAAGGCCUUCGGGUUGUAAACUGCUUUUGUACGGAACGAAAAGACUCUUUCUAAUAAAGAGGGUCCAUGACGGUACCGUAAGAAGAAGCACCGGCUAACUACGUG